GGCGGCUCUCGGGUGAUGCAUCACAGAAUCGGGCUCCCUCCUCUUUGGUUCCAGGGUGCAUCACCCAAGUACCUCU
rfam:Myotis davidii contig41862, whole genome shotgun sequence.